rnacentral:lncRNA from 1 species
CUCCCAACUUUGACGGAUUUAUGAGAUUUGUUAGAAAUACAACAUAAAUUAUGAUGUAACUUGUACAUUGGCACGUCUUCUUUUAGUUUUUUCCUUUUAAUGGUGGGUUAGAAAUAAUACAUAAAUUAUCAUGUAACUUGUACAUUGGCAUGUCUUCUUUUAGUUUGUUUUCCUUUUAAUGGUGGCAUUAGUACCAUGUUGUGCUCAUUC